AAUGAUGGGAAUUUAAACCUCUUCCAGAGUAUCAAUUGGAGGGCAAGUCUGGUGCCAGCAGCCGCGGUAAUUCCAGCUCCAAUAGCGUAUAUUAAACUUGUUGCAGUUAAAAAGCUCGUAGUUGAAUUUCUGCUGCAUCGUGGUUCUUCGCUAUGUUGAGUGGGCCUCGUUGUGGCUUAGUUGGGGCAUGUUUUCAUGACUCGACGUUUACUUUGAGAAAAUUAGAGUGCUUCAAGCAGGCUUUUGCCUU
rnacentral:rRNA from 1 species